AAAAAAAAACGCAGCUCUGUGGAUCCUAGUGUGGUCUCUUUGUAUGUCAGUUAGUGAGUAGAAUGUUGAAUGUGAUCAUCUUAAGAUGUUCCAUUUCCUGUACACAGUCGUAACAGGGCAGGGAGGGAGAGCGUGCACAGCAUACAAGUCUUUUCAAGCAGUUGGAUGCUACACCUGUGACCCCAGCCCUGUGACUGCUGUCCAGAAACAAACAUGAAGUCCAAGCGGAUAUUUGCGUCAACUGUCCUACUGACCCAAGUCCUGGAGACAGGUAACUUGAAAUUACCUAUGUUAGCAGCAUUUGUAAAUCAGACUAACAUUUGCGAGAUGGCUCUUGUCUUGAAACGUGCUUCUGGUGGGGUGUCCUCUUAUGAGACAAUCAAAAUACUUGCUGCGGUAAAUUGUGUUUAAUAUUUGGGGGUCCAGGUUUGCGUGACAUGAUUUCUCCCCAAGGCAUCAACGUGAAUUUUCUUAAAAAUAUUUCAAUGGCAAUCAGUUCAGAAACAUGUUAUGGAGCUCUUUAUAUAAGUCUAAUUUGGCCUUUUGCGUUUUAGCGUGCUGUAACAACGAUUAUCAAUAGAUGUGCCCAGAUACUUUGAUAAGCACAGUCUGUAAUAUUAGCGGCUGCACAGAUACUUUCAUGGGAGAACUGGUUCUGUUUUUUCAGAUCACUGCUGUACACAGGUUGUAACUUUAGAGUAUGUCGGUUUUAAUUUCACUACGUGUAUUUUACCUUUCAUUUUACCUUUCAUUUUCUACUUUAACGGUGUUAUUAACUACAGUGUGAACAAUCAGCAAUUCACAGUGAAUUUUAGACUAAAAAAGCUAAAUUGAAAAACAUCCAACGUGGCUGGCUAUGUUUUCAGCUCAGCAUGGCCUAAAAUAUCAAAAAUGUAUUUGCAUUUACUUUGUAUUCCACUUGCAUUCACAUUUUAGUGUAUACCUAUGUGCAUAAUCCCCCAGAUUGUGUUUCAUGAAACAAUGUUACGUUAUUUGUUCAGUCGAGUAAUUAAAGUUUAUUGAAAUAGUUUUAAUAAAAUUGUAGAAAGCCUUCACAGGAUUGAAAGGCUUAAAGCAAUAAAUGCAUAGUUCCUCUGCUUUUACACUUUCUAGUUAUGGAAACUUGAUUUGGAGAACCCUUGCAAGAGAUAUUUAGAACUAAAACCACUGGUUACAUUUAUUUAUGUAGUACGGACAUACCUCAAGGUUUUAGGCCACUCAGUUUCAUGUUUAUGUGAAGAUCAAAGGUUUUAAACUGCUUCUUACACCUGCUGAGUGCAACUAUCUCUAUCUGAUUUAUUGUCAGAAUACUCUCUUCCCCUCUGGUUCGUAGAUAUCAGUAGCAUUGCUCAGACAAAGGCCUACAAAAUGGAAUACCGGAAGUAUUGAGAUGUUGGGGUCUGUAACAAAAUAGAUGAAGGCUAACAGAGCUCAGUGUAUCUUUGUAUAUGUUAUAGAUCUAGCAGUAAGUAAUGAGAUACUAUUUUAGUGGACCUUAGUCUUGAAUACAGAACUUUAGAGAUGAAAUCUGAUCCACAAAUAAAAUACACAGCGGCCAUCUUUGUUUUUCUUUCUUUCUUUCCUCUGUGAUUCAUUCUUCUGUUGUUAAAUUAAUUCAGAGACUCAUUCUUCAACAAUAAUAUCAUAUAUUAUAAAAUAAAUAGUGAACAUCCAUUGCAUGGGUACAGGCAUUACUGCCGUUUGGGGGGCAUCUGCCUAUGGUCCGAUGAAUAUAAAAGUCCUGCUCCAGUCAUUGUGGGUUCACUGAAAACAGCAUUGGAACUUGAAACAGGGCUAAGGAACACUGGUCAUUAAACGUUUUGCCCCAGUUUUAUUUUAAAUAAAAUAAAAUCCGCUGGCACUGUAAGGACUACUAAAUUCUGUGUUAGAAAAAAUAUGUGUCUGACAUGAUUUAUAUCUGCAGUGUCUAAUCUCCACUUCAUCGAUGACUGGAUGUGCAGCUAGUUUUGCAGAUGGCUUGGCAUCUGAUGGAAUUAAUCGGGUAUAGCCCAACAAGUUUGGGGGGAAGGGAGACAGUGCCCCACCAUCUUAAAACAUCACCAGCCGCCACUGCUCUUGGUUCUCAUAACAUGGUGAUACAACAGUACUUUUCAAACCAGAUUUUUCAGCAAGGAAGCACGCCGUGUUGGCGUUCUGAGUAUACAUUACCUACAGGAUUUUCACUGAAGUGUGAAUGGUCUGAACUCAAACCAUUUUAUAAAAUUUUAUAAAACAACAACAACAAAAAAUAAAGAAAUGGAGAUUUUUUUCCCCCAAUAUGGCUGUUUUGGCCUAGAUUUAGAAAUUCGCUAUGAAUUCGGAAUAAACCUGCUAGCGUUUCAUUGUACGCAGAUGCUAAACUUCACACUCACAUAAUUACUCUAACAAGGGUAGCCACUAAAGUAUUCAAAGUUAAUCCAAAGUGAAUUCCAGCAUUUUAUGCUAUGAAAUAAUAUAGGCUGAUAUAUAAUAGUUAUAAUAUAUCUGUAUGUCCAGGCUUUUAGUUCGGCUGUUAACAUGUAAAAUCAGUUUGAUUUCCUUGCAAUUUACACUGCCGUAAAUAAACCUGACAAUAUUUUAAUAUGCUGCGUCAGUACAGAUUUCUUUCCUUACAAUUGUUUAAUGACAAUAUAAUUAUGAAUUAGAGUAGCAAUUAAUAUAUAAAAGAAAUGGGAGCCGUUCACACAGUUUAUGUUUGUGGCCUGAAUUGAAUGUGUGAUAUAAGUGCCCCAACUCAAACUGUAUUUUAUUUAGAUAUAAAUUGUGGUAAACAAACUGUAAAUAUCAAGAUAAAAUAGUUACAUGAUACAUUACAAUCAUUACGUAUAAAAUUACAAUAAAAAAGUCUAAGUCUUAAAAUGUUCUUUUUUGACGGCUGUGGACAUGACACAGUUUUCUGAAUGUCUCCAAUCUUUACGCUGUUAGAUUAACGUUUUGGAGCUGUGUCGAUAGCUGAGCAGGUGUAAGAGUGGGAUUUAAAAGUUCCAGUUAUCUUAACAUUGUCUCAUUUUAAAUAAUUGUCUUAGCCUUUCAGGUCUAUGUACUAAAGUGAGAAUAUCAAGUGGAUUUUAAAUGUAAGACCAGAGUAGCCGAGCUGGAAGAAUAGAUGGUAUAGAUAAUUUAUCUGAUGCGGCUAAAACAUCUGGAAUUCACUUUGAAUUCUCACCUUAGUAAAUAACCCUGCUGACCUAAAUCAGACUGGAAAACACUAAAAAAGGACUGUAAAUUUUUAUUAUAUUCGCAAUAUUUGUGUUCUGAAAGACCUCUGAGAGUAGUGAGCAUGGUGAGCAUGGUUGUGGUGAGUGAUACUGGAGCUGGAUACAAAGUGUCCUGCGUGGAUAUUAUUCUAGAAUAGAUUAUACAAGUAGGUUGUAAACUCAGCUCAACAUAAUGCACUGUUACCAGGUAAUCAAUGAUAGAUGGACAGAUAGAUAGACAGACAGAGAGAGAUAAACAGACAGAUAGAGAGAGAGACAGACAGACAGAUAGAUAGACAGACAGACAGAGAUAAACAGAUAGACAGAGAGAGAGACAGACAGUCGGACGGACAGACAGAGAUAAACAGAUAGACAGAGAGAGAGACAGACAGACGGAAGGACAGACAGACAGACUGACGGACAGACAGACAGACUGAUGGACAGACAGACAGAAAGACAGAGAUAAACAGAUAGACAGAUAGAGAGAGAGACAGACAGACGGACGGACAGACAGACUGACGGACAGACAGAGAUAAACAGAUAGACAGAUAGAGAGAGAGACAGGCAGACAGAUAGAGACAGACAGACGGACGGAGGGACAGACAGAUAGAUAUUUUUCCAAUAAAGUAUCAGCCUACAGACACCUGCCUACACCCUGAAUGCAAAUUUAAUCUUAGAUAUUGUUUGGUAUAUGUUCUUCUUUUGUUACAUAGUAAUUAUAAUUUUUUCUUUGUGAAGAGAAGUAGUUAGAUAUGAUUCCAGAUGGGUUUUUUUGUGGUAGGUACUAGGGUUGUCUUAGCAUUCUGACAGAAAAACCGGACAAAUAAACGAUAGAUUUUGAGAGCGGCGUCAGAAUGAUAUUCUGGUGAUAUAAAUAGGAGGUAAAUAAUUAGCAAUCUAGACUGAGAUCACAUUAAUUUUAAGGUGUUUUAUAAUGGCCGCAUUACUAGUCGUUACUGUUCAGAAUCUUUGCACUAUUAAAAUAAGGACGCAGUAUAUUAUUAACAAUGUGUUUUCUAGACAGGAUGGCCUCCGUAUAGAAAAAUAAUCCCUUAAACAAUAAAUCUGUCUUGUGGAUCUAAAGAUGACUAGCAAUAAUCUGUGUCAAGUUAUAUCAAUUAUUUCUCCUUAAUUUAAUUUAAAAGCAAUUUUAUUUCAAAGCUGGAAAACUAAAAUGGCUGCUGUGCUGUCUAUAAACACUGAACUGAAAACUAAAUAUAUUGGCUCAAUAGCUAAGCAGCGACUAUAGCCAAAUUGGGGAAUAUGACUAUAUCAGACCAUAGCAGACGAUAUAUGUUAAUCUCUCUGGGAAACACCAGACACCAGGGAUACAGGAACACAGACAAAACACAUUGCUAAUAGCACAUACAACUGUACCACCAAACUUUCUAAAUAUCUCCUCAACUGAAAUAGACACAAAGAACACUUUUAGACACGACCUGUUUACUGAGUUGCAUGGUCAGUACAGAAGGCGGCUGCUUAAUCAAUGGAUGUUUGCUAAAACAAUAUAUUGUAUUGAACUCGAAUUAAAAUAAUGUUUGCAGACUAUAAAUUUCUUUAUGCGAUUAAUUCAGAAUUACAUAUUUUUAGUUACAAUUACACACAAAUGGUAUUUUAAGAACUUUAGUUUUAUAUCGUUCCUAUAUUUUUAAUAAUAAAAUUCAGUAUUAUUGAUUAUAGCCUUAUUAUUAGUGUUAGGUUAUUUACCCAAUCACCAUGUCAAUCGAGCCUUGUAUUGCUGAUUAUCAAUAAUGUUGUGCUCCCAUUGAUAAUGUCUCUGUGUGGACAUUGGGCAGAGGAAUUGGGGCCACAUGUCUAAUCUUUAAUGUAUCCAUCACUGCCAUUAAAACUCCAUUUACUUCCCUUAAAGCAACAACAACAUGAGUGUAUGGUAUACACGGUGGGUUUCUGUCACUGGUAGUUAUAGCUUUUUAACCCAGUUCUCCCUAUUACAGGACUGAAAUUUCCAUUACGUCAUGUCCCAGGUUGCUCAGUGCCAGAGAAUCCACUAAUAAAUGGACGGUUAAUUCACUGGAGCCAGAAAUGCCAUCAGACACAGGUCUGAGUUUGGGGAAUAACAAUUCUACCCUGAUCUACACGAUCUAGCUGCUGACUGAAUAGGAAUACUUAAAUAUUUUGACUCUUAUAGACAAUCCUACAGAGAGCUGAAGUCGUUAUCAUUAUUAUUUGGUGUUUAUAUAGUGCCAACAUAUUCAGCAGCCCUGUACAAUACACAGAGUACAGACAACUAAUGAACAUGUACCGACGAUAAAAAUGGAGUAGGAGACCCUAGAUCCUAAUCUAGAUAUGUAAUUAUGGCUGUGUAAAAAAUGUGGAAUGUGAAAUGAAAAAAAUAGAUGCCAUGUUUUAUUUAUAUUUAUUUUUGUACAAUCUUUAUUUAUCAUUUACAAUACAAGAUGCUAUAUUUUAAACCCCUUUUCUGCUGUGGAACAGGAUGAUCCCGAAGGUCUUAUUUGACUAAACUCUAACUUUCAGUAAAAUAAAAAACGUUUUGUAAAAUUCACAGAAACAGCCAAGCGAUAUAGUACUAUGGCUGAGAUGGAAUUCUUUUACAAAUUGUUGCCUAAUUGGUACAAUUCAGUUUUAAUUUCACAACAAUUUGUUUUUUUAGCAAAUAAUCUCUUCACUCUGUCCACUAAUGGUUAUGGGACUGAGUGUGUGUGGAUGCCAUCCCCUGGUAUAUACUGGUACUGAUCUGGGCACAGACGUUUUUAAAAAGCAGAAUUAACACUUCUGCAUAAUCAAUAACAAUUUUAUCCAGCCUGGAUGGUAUUGAUUGGCUGAGAGUGCUGGGGAUGGGUUUAUUGAGCCCUCAAUGGGUCCUGGAAUACGAAUUAUCUGGUAAGGAGGAUAGAUACAGGUAGAGAGUUAUUCUGGAUUAACCUCUCAGUUUGUAUUCAUAUGGGCAACCUUUAUAAUAGUCAAGUUUCUAAUUUUGGGAAAUAGAGUGGAUAGUUUUUAGUUGAGGCUACACAUCCACCACUACCCAAGAAAAGGGGUUCAGUUUGGUUGUCAUCCUCCAGCUGCUAAACCCCAAAUACUCUGCGUGAAACAGUGCUAUUUGGUAGCUUUAUUUAUCACUGAGUACCAAUGGCCAGUAAAGUAAGAGUUUCCGCUUACAAAGGACAUCAUUGGUCUGAUUUCUCCUGUCUCGCUUCCAGGAGACCCAAACCUCGGUUUGUGAGGUUGGAAGAACUAUAAGAAGGAGAUACAUAUCUUGACUUCGAAAAACAUCAGAUCGGUGCAAAGAUAAUAUUAAGGCAAGAAAAAAAUCAAACAAUAAAGGAAUUCCCUUUGACCCAGAUAAAUGGACGAACGCCCCUUGUGCAGAAUGAUUAUAUCAGCCUGGCGUGUGAAUGAAGGCUUCACAGACUGCGGUGGAGUUCUGCAGUUGCCUUAUACUAACGCAAUUUGACCAACACAAGGGGAGCGGAAGGAAAUAAUACAAUUUGUGAAUGUUUCGUUCAAGGCCAGCCACAAG
rnacentral:lncRNA from 1 species